rnacentral:rRNA from 1 species
GAUGAACGCUGGCGGCGUGCCUAAUACAUGCAAGUCGAGCGAACAGACGAGGAGCUUGCUCCUCUGACGUUAGCGGCGGACGGGUGAGUAACACGUGGAUAACCUACCUAUAAGACUGGGAUAACUUCGGGAAACCGGAGCUAAUACCGGAUAAUAUAUUGAACCGCAUGGUUCAAUAGUGAAAUACGGUUUUGCUGUCACUUAUAGAUUGAUCCGCGCCGCAUUAGCUAGUUGGUAAGGUAACGGCUUACCAAGGCGCCGAUGCGUAGCCGACCUGAGAGGGUGGUCGGCCACACGGGAAGGGAGACACGGUCCAGACUCCUACGGGAGGCAGCAGUAGGGAAUCUUCCGCAAUGGGCGAAAGCCUGACGGAGCAACGCCGCGUGAGUGAUGAAGGUCCUCGGAUCGUAAAACUCUGUUAUUAGGGAAGAACAAAUGUGUAAGUAACUAUGCACGUCUUGACGGUACCUAAUCAGAAAGCCACGGCUAACUACGUG